GGCGCUUUGCCGGAGUGGUUAACGGGACAGACUUGAAUCCUCUAGGUUCAACGAUAUCUGUUGGGCUCUGCCCGCGUAGGUUCAAAUCCUGCAGGCGUCG